AAGGAAGGAAGGGAGGGUCAGUCGGAGCAGAGAGAUCCAUGAGAUCUGAGAACCCCUGAGACAAGGCCAGCGCGGAGCUCUUUCUUCACCCACAGGGUCGGUCACCAUGUUGCACCCCAUCAUGAUCGGCAUCGUGACUCUGAACACGUCCAUCACCAUCAUCUACUGGGCCUUCAUUCUCAUAGAGGCCUUCCAGAAGAAGGUUGAGGAUGAGCCCAAGAAAGACAACCCUGCUUAAACGAUCGCCUUUCUCCCCAACUCUGUAAAUCUGUAGACUUCUGUUGUUAGGGUAGAUCCGUUCGUAGUACUUUCAUGAUACACCUGGGCCAAAGAAAACAUUUUUUUUUAUACACAUAACAGCUCUUCAGUCUUAACUUUUUUUUGUCAAGGGAUUAUGAAAGCCCCAAGAAUGAAUCUGCAGGUCUGUUUGUCAGCAUCCAGACAUCGGACGAGACAACAACUGUCACGUAACAGGAAAGAAAUACAUUAUCGGAACCCUGAAACCCCCUGGAUCUUGGGAAGAGGUGCACACAAGGAAUGGGAGAGCGCAUGGAAAGAUUACCUGUCAUUACCGAGCCAAAGAGGAUCACCGACUAAGAUUGGGCACUUGGAUCGAGCCCUGUUCAGCGCAAUGUGUAUGAGCUGCUGGGAGAGGAGGAGAGGAUGAGCAGAGGGAUGGAGGCCAGCGCACCAGAGGAGAACCAGCGAGGGCCGCUGCCAGGACUUCAGAUCGAGUUGUGAAUCUGGACCUUCAAUUCCUUUUCCGUGAAUGUUUUCCCCGGACGAAGAAGAAAAAUCCCUACACACUUGUUGCACUAACUUUGCCCUUAAUGUUUCACCCAGAACCUCCAACGAAAACAUCCACUUGAAUUAGUGUUUCUUUUUCAUAAAUAAAUAAAUAACUAAAUAAAUAGAAUUUAUAUUCUAUCUAUUUUUCAAUAUCCUUGUGUCAGAGCAUCAGAAGCAUUCUAGUAUACAUGAUGUAACCUGUAACAUUAUGUCAAAUAGAACAUCUUUUAUUUUUUAAUUUAAAGGUUCAUGUGUCCCAAAUGUUUCCACAUGACUGUUAGUUGUCUUAAGAAAACACAUGCUUUUACUAAACCGAGGUAGAGCCUCCUUUGCAUGUAACAAUCUGUCAUAACCAGUCUUUCUGUAACGUUGAGUGCCAUGCUGCUGUAUGAACACAGCAGUCUGUUCCAUUUCAAGUUAUGCGUUAAAUAAA